rfam:Triticum aestivum genome assembly, contig: Triticum_aestivum_CS42_TGACv1_scaffold_194810_3AL
UUUCUACUCCCUCCGUCCGAAAAUACUUGUCAUCGAAAUGGGUAAAAAGAGAUGUAUCUAAAACUAAAAUACGUCUAGAUACAUUUCCUUUUAUCCAUUUUGAUGACAAGUAUUUCCGGACGGAGGGAGUAUUUG